GCCACAACGCCGGCUGUUCCUGCGGGUGCAUACGCACCUCUCUGCUGCCUUACCUGGGAAGAGCAUCCAACCCAGAAUGGGGAAAAGCCUCAUUGCUCUGCCUCUCCCCGCAGCCUGGUGGGACGUCGGUUCCAGAUGCUCCUGAAAGAGCUGGAUGAGACAGAAAAGAGAUUGAAUUAGAGCCAAGUUACAGCAACAGUCUUACCAACAUCACAGCAGCGAGCAGCAACAAAAUGAGAACCAGCAGGACGCAUGGUAUCAGGACGUAGAAGAGGA